GCAAGUCGAGGGGUAGGGUUACUUCGGUAAUCUGAGACCGGCGCACGGGUGCGUAACGCGUAUGCAAUCUACCUUUUACUAUGGGAUAGCCCAGAGAAAUUUGGAUUAAUACCAUAUAGUAUAUUUGAAUGGCAUCGUUUGAAUAUUAAAGAUUUAUCGGUAAAAGAUGAGCAUGCGUCCCAUUAGUUAGUUGGUGUGGCAACGGCAUACCAAGACGAUGAUGGGUAGGGGUCCUGAGAGGGAGAUCCCCCACACUGGUACUGAGACACGGACCAGACUCCUACGGGAGGCAGCAGUGAGGAAUAUUGGUCAAUGGAGGCAACUCUGAACCAGCCAUGCCGCGUGCAGGAUGACGGUCCUAUGGAUUGUAAACUGCUUUUGUACGGGAAAGAAAACAAACUACGAGUAGUUAAUUGACGGUACCGUAAGAAUAAGGAUCGGCUAACUCCGUGCCAGCAACCGCGGUAAUACGGAGGAUCCAAGCGUUAUCCGGAAUCAUUGGGUUUUAAAGGGUCCGUANGCGGGCCUUUUAAGUCAGUGGUGAAAGUUUUUGGCUUAACCCAAAAAAUUGCCAUUGAUACUGUAAGGCUUGAAUAUCUGUGAAGUAACUAGAAUUAUGUAGUGUAGCGGUGAAAUGCUUAAAUAUUACAUGGAAUACCGAUUGCAANGGCAGGGUUACUACNAAAUGAUUGACCUNAUGGACCAAAGCUGGGGUACCGAAAGGGAUUAGAUACCCUGGUAGCCCCCCCCUAAACAAGGAUCUACU
rnacentral:rRNA from 1 species